UUUCAGAGACUUUCCACUUUCGUGAAUACGACAUGAGGGGGGCGUUCAUAUGGAUUCAUCCCGUGAACGCGGUAAACACCACCCCAUUAGAAGGCACCAAUAAAUACUGUAUAAAUCUGCCUACCAGCGCCUCUAAAGCUCACUACUUAUCUUGUUAUAUCUCGUUUGUUUAAUCCAUAGAGAAACAAAGUGUACAAACUUCAGGUUGUGUUUUAUGGUUGUGUCAUAUGCUGGAUUUC